rnacentral:rRNA from 1 species
GACGAACCGUGCGAACGUUGUUCGGAAUCACUGGGCUUAAAGGGCGCGUAGGCGGUCUCGCAAGUCCGGGGUGAAAGCCCCCAGCUCAACUGGGGAAGUGCCUUGGAAACUGCGGGUCUAGAGGGAGGUAGGGGCAUGUGGAACUUCGGGUGGAGCGGUGAAAUGCGUUGAUAUCCGAAGGAACGCCGGUGGCGAAAGCGACGUGCUGGAUCUCUUCUGACGCUGAGGCGCGAAAGCUAGGGGAGCAAACGGG